GAUGAACGCUAGCGGCAGGCCUAAUACAUGCAAGUCGAACGGGACCAGGGAGCUUGCUCCCUGUGAGAGUGGCGCACGGGUGCGUAACACGUAUGCAACCUACCUUCAACUGGGGGAUAGCCUUCCGAAAGGAAGAUUAAUACCGCAUACCAUAAUUGAAUGGCAUCAUUUGAUUAUCAAACGUCAGGGUUGAAGAUGGGCAUGCGUCCGAUUAGCUAGUUGGUGUGGUAACGGCACACCAAGGCGACGAUCGGUAGGGGAUCUGAGAGGAUGACCCCCCACACUGGUACUGAGACACGGACCAGACUCCUACGGGAGGCAGCAGUAAGGAAUAUUGGUCAAUGGACGCAAGUCUGAACCAGCCAUGCCGCGUGCAGGAAGACGGUCCUCUGGAUUGUAAACUGCUUUUGUUAGGGAAGAAACCCUCGGAUGCGUCCGGGGCUGACGGUACCUAAAGAAUAAGGAUCGGCUAACUCCGUGCCAGCAGCCGCCGUAACAC
rnacentral:rRNA from 1 species